GGUCAUUUCUAGCACAGGCAGCCUAGGCACCGGUCAGCAACAUGAACGCUGGGGUCAUUGGGAAUGAGCAGCGCAGGUUCAGCUGGCGGAAUCCUGGGGAAAAGCAAAGAACAAACGAAAGAGUUCAGGCUGGCAGACAACGCUUGCGACUGAGGAGAUGGUGGCGGCGAGGAGCAGCAGCACUGCAGUCAGGUGCUGACAGAGAUGUGUGGGCCUUGGUGUUCCUGCUCCAUCUGCAGCUGCUGUAGCAAAGCUGACCAGGAGCUGCAGCAGCUGGUGCCUGAGCACGUGGGCACUCUGGGCCCUGACUUUUGGAAGACAGCCUGGAGGGACCUGACAGAGCUGGUAGCGCCUGUCCUGCUGCAGCUCCCCCAGUGCCCAGAGCGCUACCAGAAGAAAUGAUGACAACUCCCUGACUGCAAAGAGGAGCCCCAGGAAGGAUGGUGCCCAGCCACACUGCUCAGUCUCUAAGGAGUGAAAGAGUAUAUAAAGAACUCAGCAUUAACGUGGCACAGAAAAGCAUCGAAGUGCAUCUGGGCACCCUGUCCAAACAGCUACAGUGUUUCAAGGAGCAAGCAGGGAGACUGCGGUGCCUCCCUGUCCUAAACUCACCCAGCCAGGGCAGUCCUAGUCAUUGCUGCAGCACAGGAUGAACUCCUGUCUGCAGGCAACCUCCUCAGGAAAGAAAGGCUGAGACAGUGAGGGGAUGUCAACAUCACCAAGACAUCCCAGAAUGUGCUGGUGCCAGGACCAGCACAGCUGCUGAUACUCCAGAAUGUGGAGCUGAACUAGGAGUUCAACAAGUGGGUAUUGCAGGGCCUGGGGCAGAAUACUUCUACCACUGACAAGAGCUGUGUAGGGGUCACUGGAAUGCUCCUCAGGAAGAGAGUAUACAGAGAGAUCCUGAAAGUCUCUGGUGCAACCACGACUGAGAUUCAGGGCUCUAAGGCACACACGAGCCAGUGACUGCCCCUCUGUCCAGCCAUCGGUGAGGGGGAAGACUGAUCUGUGCCUGGAGGUAAAGCUUCAGAGAUUCCUUAGAGCAGUACGGCAGUCCACUGAACAGCUGCAGUGCCCAUGGCCACCUUGGCAUGCCAAUCUCUUCCUCAUCAAUAGGAAACACCGCCUGCAGCCAGCUCUUAUCACACAGCAGCAGCUUGGGGAACCCUCCACCUGCUCAGCUGCAUGUAGGGCAGCAGGAUUCAGCUCAGUGCCCAUCUGCUUCCCCAGCUGUAAGGCCACAUUCCUGCCUGUGAAGCAGUGCUGUGGAAGGAGGGCUCUGCCAGCAUCUAAAUGACUGCUCCAUCAGAAGCAGCUGGCGCUGAGGCAUGCCCCAAAGGAACUAAGGAAACAAGUGAUGGCACCAUAGGAAAAGCAGAUGAAAGAGCACCCAGAGCACCCACUUCAAAGAAAUAAAGUGACUUGUACGGAUGAGUUGGGCUGAAGAGCUCUCAUAUCCUGCAUUGCUCACUGGCAGACGUAUUGGUGAUGGAGGUGUGACUUUCAGCUCUGAGAUUCACACAGAGGGUGGUGAUACACUGGAACAGGUUGCCCAAGGAGGUUGUGGAUGCCCCAUCCCUGGAGGCAUUCAAGGCCAGGCUGGAUGUGGCUCUGGGCAGUCUGGUAUAGUGGCUGGCGACCCUGCACAUAGCAGGGGCUUGGAACUAGAUGAUCAUUGUGGUCCUUUUCAACCCAGGCCAUUCUAUGAUUCUAUGAGGGAAGUGUACUACUCCUUGUACAGGAGGACAAGGUGAUGAGAGUUAGAUGAGGAUUAGUCAAGGAGAACCAGCUAUUCCUCCUGGAACUCCUUUGGCUCACCUUCAGCUGGGCAUGCCACGAGGCAGCCUGGGACUCUCAGCAACUCAUCUGGAGGCAAAGCACCAAGCUCAGUGCCACAUCUUUGACCAAAGGGGGCUUUGGGCUCCCACAGUGUCAGCAAGAGGCCAGCAUCCCCUUCUACAAGCAGUGAUCUGUGUGGUACAUAGUCGCUCCUUUGGCUCACCUUCACCUGUGACCCAGGUGUCAGAUCUGCCUGGCUUCCAGCCUACCUUGUAUAACACACACAUCACCCCUUCACUGUCAUAUUUUCUACAAGCCACACAGGAUGGUUUAGGAGCUGCUGGCUUCACAAAGGCAUAUGCUCACACUAAGAAAGUGGACAAAUCCCAUGCUCCAGCCAGAACAGGCAGGGGGCAGCAAAUGCCUCUUUGCCAAUAAGAAAGGACUGGCUGGGGCUCUGACUCACUUUUUGCCAUUCUAGUAAGCAGAGGAAGGACGUAGGCCAGGGUCACUUGCUCCUCCCAGUCUCCAGGAGUUCCCAUUUUCACUGUCGCACAACAAGACACCAGCAGUCACCCCAGGAAGGGACACGCAGAUGACUGCUUCCAGUUCACGCUAGGCAUAACAUUGCCU